UACGGGGGGGGCAAGCGUUGUUCGGAAUUACUGGGCGUAAAGGGCUCGUAGGCGGCCAACUAAGUCGGACGUGAAAUCCCUCGGCUUAACCGGGGAACUGCGUCCGAUACUGGAUGGCUUGAGUUUGGGAGAGGGAUGCGGAAUUCCAGGUGUAGCGGUGAAAUGCGUAGAUAUCUGGAGGAACACCGGUGGCGAAGGUGGCAUCCUGGACCAACACUGACGCUGAUGAGCGAAAGCCAGGGGAGCAAACGGG
rnacentral:rRNA from 1 species